UGGGGGAUAUUGCACAAUGGGCGAAAGCCUGAUGCAGCGACGCCGCGUGGGGGAUGAAGGCCUUCGGGUUGUAAACUUCUUUUGCUCUGAACAAGGCAUGCUAAUGGGUGUGUUGAGUGUAGGGGUUGAUUAGCGCCGGCUAACUACGUGCCAGCAGCCGCGGUAAUACGUAGGGCGCGAGCGUUGUCCGGAAUUAAUGGGCGUAAAGGGCUUGUAGGUGGCUGGUUGCGUCUGUCGUGAAAGCUCAUGGCUUAACUGUGGGUUUGCGGUGGGUACGGGCUGGCUUGAGUGCAGUAGGGGAGGCUGGAAUUCCUGGUGUAGCGGUGGAAUGCGCAGAUAUCAGGAGGAAUACCGGUGGCGAAGGCGGGUCUCUGGGCUGUUACUGACACUGAGGAGCGAAAGCAUGGGGAGCGAACAGG
rnacentral:rRNA from 1 species